rnacentral:lncRNA from 1 species
AGGAAGGCAUAUCACGUAGCAGCCAUGGCCAGGUGUGCACAGUCUGACGACAAAGGGCUGAAUUGCUUUUCUGUUUUUAGAUCGAGGGAUGUGUAUGUAAAUUUUUUGCUAAGUCAACUUCUUACAAUCAGGUUUCACUUAUCCACUUGUCAGAAAGUAAUCAAUUGGGAUAAAUCAUUCGACCAGUGCAAUUUGCAAAAAAAUUACUAUGUAUGUCGUCAAUUGGGCUAAAGGUGCUCACCACGUUCCCGUGUGGUGUCGUCGUCCGACUCUCUCGUGUGUUUUCUUUCACCACUUGAUGUCUGGGUUGCAUAAGCUGUUUGACUAUGUAU